GCUGGAGAAACAGAAGAGCGGGGCUGAGCUUCAGGGAAUCUGCAUAUAUGAAGGGGAGGAGCUGCAAAGACGAAGCUUCAUCAGACUGGAAGAUCAAUCCACAAGAAGCAGUACUGCAAAUAAAGUAUUAGAAACAACGAUCAAGCCAUUCAAUGCAAAAGUCAUCAGCAUAAACAAUGUUUUCGCAGUGCUGCAAAACUCUAUAUACUGGAACAAAUGCCAAUUCCAUACCAACAAAGCUUCAGUGAAUCACACCAGAUGUGGUCAGCCACUUGUCUCUCAGCCUAAUCUACCACACAGGGCUAUUGUGGGGAUAAAAUUGAGAGAAGAAUCAUGUCACCUUGAUUACUUUGGAAAAAAGAAAUCUGCACUAUUAAGACUAAACUACCCCAGAUUUCUUGAGAGUCCCAUGGGCUGCAAGAAGAUCACACCUAUCCAUUCUUAAGGAAAUCAUCCCUGAAUGCACACAGGAAGGGCAGAUCCUGAAGCUGAGGCUCCAACACUUUGGCCACCUCAUGAGAAGAGAAGACUCCCUGGAAAAGACCCUGAUGUUGGGAAAGAUGGAGGGCACAAGGAGAAGGGGAUGACAGAGGACGAGAUGGUUGGACAGUGUUCUUGAAGCUACCAGCAUGAGUUUGACCAAACUACGGGAGGCAGUGGAAGACAGGAGUGCCUGGCGUGCUCUGGUCCAUGGCGUCACGAAGAGUCGGACACGACUAAACAACAACUCCAGAUUUCAGCCAUAUACAAAGAAAGCACAAUGCUAGGUUUCUUUGCAAAAGGACAAGUAAUUUCCAGAUUUCUAAACUACAGGCCUAAGCAAAGCUUUGGUCAACAGCCACAUGUGACCCUGCAGGGCUAAUGGGAGUCUCCAAGGGCAGUGUGAACCAACUAAAUGCUGUUUAAUCAUUCCAUUCCUUUCAGCCUCUAUUAACCUUUCACAGGAUUGGAUAUAUUUCUACACCCCAUACAUACCUCCAGCAUCACCACCUUUCAAGAGCAGUACAAAAAGCUGCAUAUUCCAAUUCCUGCCUCUAGCAAGAUUUAUAAAAUACAUAACCCAAAGAAGGGAAUUGCCACUUGGCUGGUCAAUCACUUUCACAGGAGCCCAGGGACUUUCUGGAAACUGGUCCUUGCCCAGGGGGACGAAACCAAGAUAACACUGGGGAAACAGAUAACUUAUCAACUCUUAUUGCUAAUCAAUCACCUUGAUCAAUCUGGGCAGCUAGUGCGUCAGCUUUUAGUAUUCGUGUAAUUUAAACCUUGGCUAUUUGAGCAAGGAAACCCUACGAUCAAGCCCAGCUGUCCUCAAAACCGGCCAACAAAAUAUUCUCCCUUUGGCAUUCAGAGUGAUAAAGAGACCACUGGACAUGUUAAAUAGCAUAAGAAUCUGGUACCGGACAGCAGGAAUUAAGAGCAGAUUGCCAUCAGAUCAUUGUCAAGACUUGCCUCCCAGCAGGAAAUGAAUUAUUUAAAGCUCCAUGCAUUCUCAUCUGGGAGGAAGCUGCAAUGAAUCCACUAGGACUUGCUUCCAAGUAAAUAUGGUGUUCUGCUUAAAUCUGCCCAAGGACACAGUAGAGAUGACAGGUUUCACAUAAUAUUCUUAGCAUUUCUUCAUAAUUUAAAUUCGGUUUGCACAUUUGGUUGACAGUGAUUCUAUUGCAGUAAGUUUCUCUCCUGAGCUUCCCUCAUCCACCAUAGUGACACAGAUGUGAGCAGACAGGAUCGAAGCUUGAAAAGCAGUUUUAAAUCUUGCAUUAUUCAAAGUAUGUCAACUGCUUAGUGAAACUAGUUAAUUAUUGAAACUCCUUUGGAUAGCUAGUUACUGCUUGGGGCCAGGAGAACAAUUACAUUCUAUCUGCAGCAGACAUAGUUUCUUUUAAGUGAGUUGCAAGGUCAAAUAUCUAAGAUUAUUAGAGAAGGCAGAUACACCAUUUCAAAGUGUCUUUUGUCUGCAAAACCCUCUAUGAAUCAAAGAGAGAAGGUUAAUUACUUUGUUUUUCAGGAAAGCUGCAGUUCCAUCAUGAAUGGCAUAACAUAGCAGAGAACUCUUUCUCUCUCUUUACUUUCUCAGAAGAAUGGAGUUUCCAUUUAUUUUUUAAAAAUAAAAACCCUGUCAUUUAAA